AAUAUUGCGCAAUGGGGGAAACCAUGACGCAGCAACGCCGCGUGAUGGAUGAAGGCCUUCGGGUCGUCAAGUUCUGUCCUCAGGGAAGAAUAAAUUGACGGUACCUGAGGCAGAAUCCCCGGCUAACUACGUGCCAGCAGCCGCGGUAAUACGUAGGGGGCAAGCGUUGUCCGGAAUUAUUGGGCGUAAAGGGUGCGUAGGCGUCCUUUUAAGUUAGAUGUGAAAGACCACAGCUUAACUGAGGGAUUGAAUUUGAAACUGAAGGGAUUGAGUGUCGGAGAGGGUAGUGGAAUUCACGGGGUGGCGGUGAAAUGCGUAGAUAUCGGGAGGAAAGCAAGUGGAGAAGGCAACUACAUGGCCGACAACUGACGCUGAGGCACGAAAGCUAGGGGAGCAAAC
rnacentral:rRNA from 1 species